GGACCCGUAGUGUAAUUGGAUGCACUUCCCAUAUAACUCUAUCCACCCUCGAGCGGGACGGUAUAGGUUCGAGUCCUAUCGGGGCCG